rnacentral:tRNA from 1 species
CAAGACGUAGCUUUAAUACGAAAGCACUCAGCUUACACCUGAGAGAUAUCCGUUACCUGCCGGGUCGUCUUGA